rnacentral:rRNA from 1 species
UACAGGGGGUGCAAACGUUGCUCGGAAUCAUUGGGCGUAAAGCGCACGUAGGCGGUUCGUUAUGUCGGAUGUGAAAGCCCUUGGCUUAACCGAGGAAGUGCAUCCGAAACUGGCGAGCUAGAGUACGAAAGAGGAUCGCGGAAUUCCCGGUGUAGCGGUGAAAUGCGCAGAUAUCAGGAGGAACACCGGUGGCGAAGGCGGGUCUCUGGGCAAUAACUGACGCUGAGGAGCGAAAGCGUGGGGAGCGAACAGG